CCAAUCGAACGUGGAGAUAGCUGGUUCUCCCCGAAAUAGCUUUAGGGCUAGCCUCAGGGAAAAGAUUGCAGGCGGUAGAGCACUGAUCAGGAGAGGGACCUACCCGGUUACCAAACCCAGUCAAACUCCGAAUGGCUGCAAUCAUACCUGGGAGUCAGACUGCGACUAAUAAGGGCCGCAGUCAAAAGGGAAACAGCCCAGACCAUCAGCUAAGGUCCCCAAUGCCGUGCUAAGUGGCGAAGGAUGUGGCAUUUCAUAAACAACCAGGAUGUUGGCUCAGAAGCAGCCACCAUUUAAAGAGUGCGUAAUAGCUCACUGGUCGAGAGACGCUGCGCCGAAAAUGUCCGGGGCUCAAGCACGGAACCGAAGCUAUGGCAUGAUAGCAAUAUCAUGGGUAGGGGAGCGUUCUUAUAAGGAAGAAGCAUGACCGGAAGGACAUGUGGACAAAUAAGAAGUGAGAAUGCCGGUAUGAGUAUCGAAAAGAAAGGUGAGAAUCCUUUCCACCGAAAGCCCGAGGGUUCCUGAGCAACGAUCGUCGACUCAGGGUAAGUCGGGACCUAAGCCGAGGCGAGAAGCGUAGGCGAUGGACAACAGGUUGAAAUUCCUGUACCGGAUCAAGUCGAUCGAGCGAAGGAGCGACGCAGGAGGGCACAUGAUCGCGCGGCUGGAAGAGCGCGUCCAAGUGCGUAUGUUGCAGCAGAGGAAAACCCCUGCAGCUAAAAGCAGAGACAUGAUGGGGAGUUAAAGGAAACUUUGACGAACUCAUGGAUCCCACACUGCCAAGAAAAACUUCUAGCGAGACAAGAUCCGCCCGUACCGUAAACCGACACAGGUAGGCGGGGAGAGAAUCCUAAGGUGCGCGGGAAAACCCUCGUUAAGGAACUCGGCAAAUUGCAUCCGUAACCUAGGGAGAAGGAUGGCCCCCGGUCAGUGAAGAGCAGAAACGCUCAGAGCUAAAAGGGGCGGCAGAAAAGAGGCCCAAGCAACUGUUUACCAAAAACACAGGUGCCUGCGAAAGCGAAAGCUGAAGUAUAGGUGCUGACGCCUGCCCGGUGCCGGAAGGUUAAGGAGAGAAGUUAGCGAAAGCGAAGCAUCGAACUGAAGCCCCGGUGAACGGCGGCCGUAACUAUAACGGUCCUAAGGUAGCGAAAUUCCUUGUCGGGUAAGUUCCGACCCGCACGAAAGGCGUAACGAUUUGGGCACUGUCUCAACGAGGGGCCCGGUGAAAUUGAAAUACCUGUGAAGAUGCAGGUUACCCGCGACUGGACAGAAAGACCCCAUGGAGCUUCACUGCAGCUUGAGAUUGAAUCCCGGUGACAGAUGCACAGGAUAGGUGGGAGGCGCCGAAGCAUUGCCCUAGGGCGGUGCGGAGCCGAUGUUGGGAUACCACCCUUCUGUUGCUGAGAUUCUAACGCGAGGAGUAACGACCCUGCGGACCCUCUCAGGCAGGCGGUUUGACUGGGGCGGUCGCCUCCGAAAGAGUAACGGAGGCGCCCAAAGGUUCCCUCAGGCCGGACAGAAACCGGCCGAAGAGUGCAAAGGCAGAAGGGAGCUUGACUGCGAGACCAACAAGUCGAGCAGGGACGAAAGUCGGGCUUAGUGAUCCGGUGGUACUGGGUGGAAAGGCCAUCGCUCAACGGAUAAAAGCUACCCUGGGGAUAACAGGCUAAUCUCUCCCAAGAGUCCAUAUCGACGGGGAGGUUUGGCACCUCGAUGUCGGCUCAUCACAUCCUGGGGCUGAAGUAGGUCCCAAGGGUUGGGCUGUUCGCCCAUUAAAGUGGUACGCGAGCUGGGUUCAAAACGUCGUGAGACAGUUUGGUUCAUAUCCAUCGCGGGCGCAAGAAGUUUGAGAGGAGCUGCUCCUAGUACGAGAGGACCGGAGUGGACGGAUCAACGGUGUCCCAGUUGUCACGCCAGUGGCACGGCUGGAAAGCCGCAUCCGGGAAGGAUAAACGCUGAAAGCAUCUAAGCGUGAAGCCAACCUCAAGAUGAGACUUCUCAUCAGCAAUGAGUAAGACCCCUUACAGACGAUGAGGUAGAUAGGUUAUGAGUGGAAGAGCCGCAAGGCUUGGAGCGACAUAAAACUAAUAGGUCGAGGUCUUAACUUA
rnacentral:rRNA from 1 species